rnacentral:SRP_RNA from 1 species
GCCAGACGAGGCAGCCCGCGCCUGUAGUCCCAGCUACUCCCAUCUUGGGAGGCUGAGACGGGAGGAUCGCUUGAGCCCAGGAGUUCUGGGCUGUAGUGUGCUGUGCGGAUCGCGUGUCCACACUAAGGUCGGCAGCAAUAUGGUGACCUCCCGGGAGCGGGGGACCACCAGGUUGCCUAAGGAGGGGCGAACCGGUCCAGGUCGGAAACGGGAGUUAGUAUCAAUUUGAUGAUGAGUACAUGUGGUGCAUGUUUUUCCAUUCUUGUGAUACCUCACUUUCAAGGAUGGGCUCAAUCUCU